rnacentral:rRNA from 1 species
AACGCGAAGAACCUUACCUACCCUUGACAUCCCACGAAUUUUGCAGAGAUGCGAGAGUGCCGAAAGGAACGUGGAGACAGGUGCUGCAUGGCUGUCGUCAGCUCGAGUUGUGAGAUGUUGGGUUAAGUCCCGUAACGAGCGCAACCCUUAUCCUUAGUUGCCAACAUGUAAUGGUGGGGACUCUAAGGAGACUGCUGGUGAAGAACCGGAGGAAGGCGGGGACGACGUCAAGUCAUCAUGGCCUUUAUGGGUAGGGCUACACACGUGCUACAAUGGAACAAACAGAGGGAAGCGAAGCAGCGAUGCGGAGCGAAUCCCGUAAAAUGUUUCGUAGUCCGGAUUGGAGUCUGCAACUCGACUCCAUGAAGAUGGAAUCGCUAGUAAUCGCGAAUCAGAAUGUCGCGGUGAAUACGUUCCCGGGUCUUGUACACACCG